UAAGCUAAAGGAAAACAGAGCCUAACUGAUGUAAAUUGCAAUCUAUAAAUCUCAGCCUUUUUGGUAGUGGUGGCACCAAGCAUAAAUCACACUCACGAAUAGAGACAGCUGGAACAAAAGUUCAGACCAGUUUCACUGCACAGAGUUCAUGACCAAGAGCUGCUCACAGCCCUGGGUUAUGUAAUGGAUGUGGGACAGAGAAGAGAGAGGAGAGAAAGAAGUCUUCCUGUGGGCUUCCUCACUGCAAAUCAGCUGUCCUAACUCCCAGGCAUUUAACAGCAUCUGUUCUUCAAGCGUUGGAUGUUUGCGCCCCAACGUGACAGAGGAUGAGAUGGUUAGACAGCCUCGCAGACUCGACGGACACGAGUCUGAGCGAACUCCUGGAGAUGGUGAAGGAGAGAGGAGCCUGACCUGCUGCAGUCCACAGGGUCUCGGAGAUGCGACUUGGCGACUGGACAGCCACGCAGGAUCUCCCAGGACACAGGCUACUCUGCUUUUAUCAGAUAACUCGCUUACCCUUUUUAUCCUAGAGGGACUUCCUUCUCUAUGCCAACAUCCCAUCUGCCACGGCUUUUGGAUGAGUCCUUGGACGUCAAUCUGUUGUUUAUACAAGAUCCAUAGAUUCUUAUUCACUAGGAAUGAGCACACAUCUCUCUCCCCCUGA
rnacentral:lncRNA from 1 species